GUGCUCGCUUUGGCAGCACAUAUACUAAAAUUGGAACAAUACAAAGAUUAGCAUGGCUCCUGCACAAGGAUGACACUCACAUUCAUGAAGCGUUUCAUAUUUUU